GGAGGAGACUGAGUUUUGUGGCAGAGAGUAGAGGAA
rnacentral:sRNA from 1 species